GUAUAUGCACUUUUCGUAGUGCAUCCAUGAGUGUGUACGUGCAAGCCAGUCAGUCUGCUUCUGGCUGUGUGGGACGCUCUGGGAGACGAGGAUACAAGUGUGUGUGUGUAUGUGUCCAAGUGUUUAUGUGUCGGAGUAGUGGGGCGUUUCGAGAAGAGAAGGACUGAGUGAUUAGCAGCUAUACCUGGACUUACUGCAUUUUGGGAGGGGGGAAAGGAAGAAGAAGAGGUAGGAGUGUGCCUGGAGGAGGAGAGGAGAGGAGAAAAUGGAGAAGAGAAGAAGGGAAGGGGAGAGGUUCAGGGGUGACAGGAGGAUGGCUUCAUGGCUGCAUUUUCCCUUCGCUGAAUUUCCACACUCCUCUUUCCUUUUUUUGUUUGCCUUAUUCAGCUGAGUGAGAGAGGGAGUUAAACAGACAAGGAGAGUUUGCAGUUUCAAGACUGAAACAGCGAGAAAAGUCGAGCCAUUUUUUUAAAAUCUUUUAGGCUGGGAUUUUGGCUGUCUUACAAACAGAUGUUGCUUGUCAUUUGCUCGUAGUGCAGGGAAGCAGCUUGUAGAUUGCAGAGGUUUUACAGGCUGAAAGAUCACGUCUCGCUUAUUUAUAGUUGUUAUCAUUACUAGCGUGCGGUGAACCAAAAUUGUAAAAACACCCAAAAAAAUUAGUGUGUUUUUCUGUUAUCGUUUACUUUUUUCCCCACCUUCUCUUCCCCCCACCAGCAGUUUCUCUCCCUUUUUCUUUUUUCUUCUUUCUUUUGUCUCACUGUUUCCUACCCUCUCCCCGAGCUCCCUUUUGGGCUGGUUUUGUUACUGUAGUUGCAUGUUUGAGCUGGGUUUUUUGAUGGGCCACAGUGGACAUGACUGCCUAUUCCUUCUGCCAAGCACCGUAGGCCCUGCAGAGUAGAGAAAAGAAACAUUUGGAAACUAAACAUAAAGGCAAAUCGAGCUGCCAAGACGUAAACAUCCUCUCAGCUGACCACGAAGACCUCGGACAGUAAAUGGACCGAGAAGAAGAGACAGUUGACAAGCAAGUUCUCAGUAGACAGGGUGCUUGCAGUAAUUAGUCCAUAUGCUCUGAAAUUGGAUGUAUCCAUGGUCCAUGGUUAAAGGAAUUACUGUACCACAGUAAUACAUUUAAGGAAUAUACCUAUACCAUAAAUACAGUUAACAUUUAAUAAGUAAUUAUUCAUUUUAUUGGAAAAUAAAACUGCAAACUUUAGAAGUAGGCCUACCACUGGGGUGGGCUGCAUGCACUGUACUGUCCUGUAUCUGACACAGCUGUUAAAGAGCUUUUUCUUUCUCUCUCUUCCAGCCCGUUAGACCAGGUCAGGACACGUCGGGGAAUGGCACACCAACAUGAGACGGAUAUGACAACCAUACUGGAGCAAGCCUCAACUGUUCAUUUACAUGCAUACUGAGAUACUGAGAUGUCUUCCAUAGUAAUUGAUGUAUUUUCCUUUGUAAAAUAUAUAUAUAUGUAAUGCUAAUAAAAUAUUUAUUUAAAAAAAACUCCUUUUGUAUUAUUCCAAGAAAUGCACCAUUCUAAAAUGGUGUCAGCCUUAUCAUAUUAAGUAUGCUAGUAUUUAAUAUGCUAGGCAUAGCUAUUUUUACGUAUUUGCCAUGUUAACAUUUAUGUUAUCAUUUGUUUUUUAUUAAUAGCAGGCAUCAUAUUAACACUAAACACGUUAUGUGAUAGUAUAUUACAAACAAACAUUUUAGUGUACACUAUUCUGGGAAAUAGUGCCUCAUGCUAGCCUUGGUCUACAUACACAGUGUUGAGUUGUAGAAGGCUCUUUAACCCUUUAUAACAUACAUUAUACUAUAUGAUAGCAAACUCAAAGCUAAUAUUCACAUUUACACUAUUGAGUGAUAUUGCUCUGUGUUGACAAUUUAAUUAGUAAGCAUUAAAGGAAGACUAAUCAUGCAGACUAAUCAACAUUAUAGCAUUCAUUAGGAGAGUAAAGCUCUAUGCUAUGCCAUUUAGAAGACAUUUCCAUCCUUGUAUGUUGUAUGAUGCCGCAGAUUAUCAAUCCAUGGCAUUUAUUCCAGUUCAUUCAAGUUGUUCAGUGAUGACGUGUCUAUUUGUGGUGUCCACUUAACUUCAACCUGCCUCCUCUACCUCAGUGAUUCACCACAUUUCCAAGAAUGACUUUCAACACCCAGAGAUUUCCUGCCUCGACUUGUUAUUGACAGCUUUUGGUUUUACAUUGGAUAAAUUGGCAACAAUCAGGCUGGUACAGAAAGAGAGUUAGUAACUUAAAAAAGGGAAAUUUUCUGCCUAAAAAAACAACACAGCCAUGCCUCACAGCAUAUCCUUUAGUCGUAAUGCAUUAUGGGAAAUUAGGGCUACUGUAAAAUAGAUAGCUCUUGCUUAUCCUAAGCUUUUUUAUGAAAUUAAUUAUUGUACAAAGAAGCCCUACAAU